rnacentral:lncRNA from 1 species
UGAACACUGUAACUUUCUGUGGAUGAAAUUACUGCCACAGCAGUGAGAAGAAGACCUUUAGAAGACUUACUUGUUCACAGCUGAUAGUAUUUCCAGAAUGAAAGACAGGCUCUGGAGAUCCUUCAAGAACCAUGUUGGCCAUCUUACCUAUUUCCUCUCUAGUGCACCUAGAAUAUGAUAGAAACUGCACGUUUAAGUGAGCCCAUCUAUUGCAUUGCUGCUGAAACGAUUCUCCAACAGAAAAUAGAGAACAUUUUUAAUUCUGUCUUAUAAAGCACCAUUUUCACACUUUUUUUUUUCUUUAUACUGGAUUAAUGCUACAUACUAAACUCUGAAGACCCUCUUAUGAAAUAUAUUGGCCAUCAGACCAAUUUCCUUACCCACAGAAGAGACACUGGUGUAGUAUCUCUCUGUUCUUGAGCAAUUUGGCAGCUCGCUUAAGGACAAAUACGUGACCAGAGGGUGGCCCUUGAGCCAUGUGCAAUUUAUGCGACUCCUCAGCACAGCUGGAUCCAGAUGUCCCAGCUGUGGGAGCUCCCCUAAGUCCUCAGCUGCAAGAAGAAUUGACCCAGGAGGGACAGUCAACGUCUGCAGCUGAAGCCAAGCCUUCAAGACAACAAAGAAGAGCUUCUGUUGAUUGUGUUGAUUGUUGAUUGUGACCAUGCGAAGAUUUUGGAACCUUGCCUUAAUGUUGGACAUCCUUUGCUCAUAGCAUCAAAAAGCAAAUUACUGCAUAUUUGUCAUACCACAAAUGUCUGCUGCUGCUGACAGCUGCCAUAAUUUUAUGUAC